CCGUCACAACGGCUUCCUGACGUGACGGAAAAUUAUCAGUGGAGCA
rnacentral:ncRNA from 1 species